UACGUAGGGGGCUAGCGUUGUCCGGAAUCAUUGGGCGUAAAGAGCGUGUAGGCGGCCCGGUAAGUCCGCUGUGAAAGUCGGGGGCUCAACCCUCGGAUGCCGGUGGAUACUGUCGGGCUCGAGUACGGAAGAGGCGAGUGGAAUUCCUGGUGUAGCGGUGAAAUGCGCAGAUAUCAGGAGGAACACCUAUUGCGAAGGCAGCUCGCUGGGACGUUACUGACGCUGAGGCACGAAAGCGUGGGGAUCAAACAGG
rnacentral:rRNA from 1 species